GCCCCAGUGGCCUAAUGGAAAAGGCACUGGCCUCCUAAGCCAGGGAUUGUGGGUUCGAAUCCCAUCUAGGGUG